UACGUAGGGUGCGAGCGUUAAUCGGAAUUACUGGGCGUAAAGCGUGCGCAGGCGGUUCGUUGUGUCGGCGGUGAAAGCCCCGGGCUUAACCUGGGAAUGGCCGUCGAAACUGGCGAACUGGAGUGUGGCAGAGGGGGGUGGAAUUCCGCGUGUAGCAGUGAAAUGCGUAGAGAUGCGGAGGAACACCGAUGGCGAAGGCAGCCCCCUGGGCUGACACUGACGCUCAGGCACGAAAGCGUGGGGAUCAAACAGG
rnacentral:rRNA from 1 species